rnacentral:rRNA from 1 species
UGCAUCUGUUAGCAAGGGCCGGGCAAGACCGGUGCCAGCCGCCGCGGUAACACCGGCGGCCCGAGUGGUAACCGCUAUUAUUGGGUCUAAAGGGUCUGUAGCCGGCCAGGUAAGUCCCUUGGGAAAUCUGGCAGCUCAACUGUCAGGCUGCUAGGGGAUACUGUUUGGCUUGGGACCGGGAGAGGUGAGAGGUACCUUGGGGGUAGGGGUGAAAUCUUGUGAUCCUCGAGGGACCACCAGUGGCGAAGGCGUCUCACCAGAACGGGUCCGACGGUAAGGGACGAAAGCUAGGGGCACGAACCGGAUUAGAUACCCGGGUAGUCCUAGCCGUAAACGAUGCUCGCUAGGUGUCAGUCACGGUGCGACCGUGAUUGGUGCCGUAGGGAAGCCGUGAAGCGAGCCACCUGGGAAGUAUGGCCGCAAGGCUGAAACUUAAAGGAAUUGGCGGGGGAGCACUACAACGGGUGGAGCCUGCGGUUUAAUUGGAUUCAACGCCGGAAAUCUCACCGGGGGCGACAGCGAUAUGAAGGUCAGGCUGAAGACUUUACCGGAUUAGCUGAGAGGUGGUGCAUGGCCGUCGUCAGUUCGUACUGUGAAGCAUCCUGUUAAGUCAGGUAACGAGCGAGACCC